AUGAAGUCGGAAUUGCUAGUAAUCGCGGAUCAGCAUGCCGCGGUGAAUACGUUCCCGGGCCUUGUACACACCGCCCGUCACACCAUGGGAGCCGGUAAUACCCGAAGUCAGUAGUCCAACCACGUGGGGACGCUGCCGAAGGUAGGAUUGGCGACUGGGGUGAAGUCGUAACAAGGUAGC
rnacentral:rRNA from 1 species